GAGGUACCAUCAGAGUUGAGGCCGUUCUGCUCUACGCCGAGACAUGAUGUUGAUGCACCAGGUCUCAAUCUAUACAGGUAUGCAAUCUGAUUCAUAUUUUGUAUGACACGUGCAAGUGAUUGUGCAUAACAAUUGGCACUGUAUGCACUUUUACCAAAUUUUUAGGACUGACUACCUCAGUGAUGAGCUGUCCAGCUGUGAUGACUCUGACUCGGAUAUCAUUGACUACACAAAUGACUCGUCAUACGUCUGUGAUGAGCUGAACGAUGAUGACAGUGACCCUGAGCCACCUGUACAGGAAAUGUGUGCUGAAGGUGGGGUGACUACAAAGAAAUACAUUGUUUUGAAUCCUGCUUGAUGGAACUGUUGAAGCGUUGCCGGGUUUGUGGAGCAUCCGAAAGCAGAGUAGACAUUGCGGCAACAGGAACAAUGAUUUCUGCUACCAUAAAGUGUGCCAAAAACCAUGUAACGAAGUGGUCGAGUCAGCCGAUGGCCAAAGGAAAGGCUCUUGGCAAUUUGUUGUUGUGCUGCGCCAUUCUAUUCACUGGGAGCAGUCCAACCAAAGUGAUUCGCCUAUUGUCAGUUAUGGGAGUGCAGUCACUUCAAAAGACACAGUACUUCCAGUACCAAAGGUGCUACCUACUUCCAGCGGUUGAGCAGGUUUGUAUUGGCAAUGCUGCCUACUUGUAUCAAAUUGCUAGUCUCUACAACUGUCAUGAGCUAUGUGCAUGUCUUCAGGCUCACGUCUAAGUACAGCUGGGCCCACUCUAAGGGGGAAACCACUAAUGCAUGGCCUGCAGGCUCGAG